AUGAUUUUUGCAGCGAUACAAUCUGCUGCGUCUGCUCUUGCCAGUGUUGCAGCAUGGGCAGUGCCGGUCGAAAGCAGUCCAACAGCGGCAACGGAAAGCGUUUAUCGGCUGUUGAAUGAGCUGAAACUCUUGGAAAUAGAUCGGCAGAAAGAACUAAAUAAGGCCCUUGGAAACCAAAAGUUUAUGAGAUAUUAUCUCAUGACCGAGUUCCUAUCCAUCUUAUCGUUUGUGGACUCCCUUUUUAUGGAAUAUCGCUGUUACUAUGAUGCAAUGAAUACAAUGAUCCAUUCCAGUGAGGAAUCCGAAGCUUCUCGGAAGGCCAUAGAGAUCAUCAAACGGUCUACGCAGCGGGCAUUUCAACUCAAUGAAUUCAUAAGGACGAAGGGUGAAAAGCUCUCCCCACCCAAAUUGAACGUGAUCGGUCGAACGGACCACUUACAAGCUUUAUUUAAAAGCUCUCUCGAGAAAAACGAAGAGAUUGAGGCACAGUUGCGCCCUAAAUUCUCCGGAUCUUCGCUCAAAAAACACUUAAAGGAUGUGCCGUAUCUGCCGGAAGGAGGAGGUGGAAAUAAUAACGAUCCAGAUAAUCAAUAA
rnacentral:lncRNA from 1 species